rnacentral:rRNA from 1 species
CCUACGGGUGGCAGCAGUGAGGAAUAUUGGUCAAUGGACGAGACUCUGAACCAGCCAAGCAGCGUGAAGGAUGACUGCCCUAUGGGUUGUAAACUUCUUUUAUAUGGGAAUAAAAUGUUCCACGUGUGGGAUAUUGUAUGUACCAUAAGAAUAAGGAUCGGCCAACUCCGUGCCAGCAGCCGCGGUAAUACGGAGGAUCCGAGCGUUAUCCGGAUUUAUUGGGUUUAAAGGGAGCGUAGGUGGAUGGUUAAGUCAGUUGUGAAAGUUUGCGGCUCAACCGUAGAAUUGCAGUUGAAACUGGCAGGCUUGAGUACAGGAGAGGUAGGCGGAAUUCGUGGUGUAGCGGUGAAAUGCUUAGAUAUCACGAAGAACUCCGAUUGCGAAGGCAGCUCACUGGACUGCAACUGACACUGAGGCUCGAAAGUGUGGGGAUCAAACAGGAUUAGAUACCCGUGUAGUC